UCCCAGGACAUUUCAUGGGCCUCCGGGAGCUUGCAGCAGUUCCUCACAUGCAAAACCAGUGAAGCUGCCAAUUACAUAUUGCAGACAUCCCAGAAUUACUGGGACAGUUUCACACACAAGCUGGGGUCUGGGGGAUGUUCAGUUGCUGUCCUAUGGGAAGCUGAAUUUGGGGUUAUUUUUAGAUAAAGAUUAUAAAUACCAUGGUAAGAAGAGUUGAUUUACAUUGAGGGUUGUGUCUGCAGACGUGCCCUGUCCCUGCAAGUCCCAGUGCUCACUCCUGCAGCCACAGGAACCUGCUUUGAGCUGGGACACGGUGUCCCCAAGGCCACCUUCUCCCAAACACCAGGAUCCAUGGGCAGGGAUUCUCCUGUGGACAUGGCCAUGAAUAUCUGGGGACCCCCAGCAGGAGCCACAUGGCUCCCUGGAGCUGGCUUUGGGUGGGGAGAAACCUCUGCAAAGCCUCUCGUCCUCAGACCCCUGGAAGGAGAAAGGAUGCGACUGCCUGGUAUGAGAUACAGCCCCUGGUCCAGAGCAGCCUCUCCCCAGCACGAGGUGCCCAGGGUGGACACCCUCCCACCAUGGCAUUUCGGGACCGAGACUUUUCUUCAACUGUUUCUUUUUGUAAAAACUCAUAAUGCAACUUUUUUUUUUAAUUAAAACAAAAGAAGAACGCAGACCCAACGCUAUGGCCAGGCUGUGAGCCUGGCACCAGCCCAGCGACUGGAAAUGAAGCAGGACCAGGCCAACCUUGUCAUGGGGAUAUUAGUAAAAGUGAAGGCAGAAAAAUCAAAUGUGUUUUCAUGGAAAUUUCCAUUUUUGAAGAAAAAAAAAAAUAAAAGAAGGACUAAACUUG